rnacentral:rRNA from 1 species
AGGAUGAACGCUGGCGGUCUGCUUAACACAUGCAAGUCGAACGGGCGUAGCAAUACGUUAGUGGCGGACGGGUGAGUAACGCGUGAGAAUCUACCUUCAGGACGGAGACAACAGUUGGAAACGACUGCUAACCCCCGAUGUACUGAAAAGGCAAAUAUUUAUAGCCUGAAGAAGAGCUCGCGUCCGAUUAGCUAGUUGGAGAGGUAAAAGCUCACCAAGGCGACGAUCGGUAGCUGGUCUGAGAGGACGAUCAGCCACACUGGGACUGAGACACGGCCCAGACUCCUACGGGAGGCAGCAGUGGGGAAUUUUCCGCAAUGGGCGAAAGCCUGACGGAGCAAGACCGCGUGGGGGAAGAAGGCUCUUGGGUUGUAAACCCCUUUUCUCUGGGAAGAAAGUUGUGAAGCAGCCUGACGGUACCAGAGGAAUCAGCAUCGGCUAACUCCGUGCCAGCAGCCGC